GAUGAAGAACGUAGCGAAAUGCGAUAAGUAGUGUGAAUUGCAGAAUUCAGUGAAUCAUCGAAUCUUUGAACGCACAUUGCGCCCCUUGGUAUUCCAUGGGGCUUGCCUGUUCGAGCGUCAUUUGUACCUUCAAGCUUUGCUUGGUGUUGGGUGUUUGUCCAUUCUCUUGCAGAGGGACUCGCCUUAAAGUAAUUGGCAGCCAGUGUUUUGGUUUUGAAGCGCAGCACAAGUCGCGAUUCAAAGCUAUACGCCCGCUUCCACAAGCCUUUUUCACUUUUGACCUCGGAUCAGGUAGGGAUACCCGCUGAACUUAAGCAUAUCAAUAAGCGGAGGA
rnacentral:misc_RNA from 1 species